CAGACACAGCCAGCAGAUAGCCACACUCCCGAAGACACACACACACACACACACACACACACACACACACACACACACACACAUACAGUCAUAGGUGCAUGCUUGUGCAUUGUACAUAGCAACACACACAAACAACAGACACACACUCACACAAACACUAGCAAAAGUAAACAAAUAUUGGGAACGGCAAACUGUCACAUCCAGAGAUCACCCUGGACAACAGGAAAUGAUGAUGGCGUAGGAACCGAAGAUGCUGAUUGGUGUGGAAGGGCUUUAGCCUGGCCUAUAAAACGGCUCCAGUGAAGUGGACAUGAAUAUCGAGAGGGAAAGAACAACACUCACAAUUUCAAAGCACUGGAAUUUCAUCAGUCGAGUUUGCCCCAAAGAGAAGUUGCAGGUACAUAUGCAUGUAUUGCAGAUGCUGAGCUGGAGCUGGCUGUUUCUCUGCUGCCUGCCUGUGGUCGCUCUUCCACUCCAAGAGGACGAGCCUGACACCCUCUCUCAGAGUCGGACAGAAUCCCAUGUUUGGCCCCGUAAGGCCAUUUUGCCUGGUGAAGCUCCACCACAGCAAAGUCAUUCAGGGGACGCUGUGGCCCCCAGGAGGACUGAGAGCUUCCCUGGAAGUAACACACCACUAGACCGCUUAUCCAUCAGCCCUGUGGACCCCAAGAGAAGCCGACAAAGGAGGAUAAAAGGAGGCCAGAAGAGAAGAAAUGGCCGAGUUGAUCAAGCACAGAACCCUCUCAACCAGGUCAGAAGCAGACAGUCUGGACAAGCAGACUUGAUCAGGAUUACUGAGAGUGACCCUGCUGACCAGACAAAGACUGGGAGCAGAACCUCCACUGACCAGCCCAAUGUCCGAGAUGGUCUGCCAGGAGACUCUGUUAAGACUGGAAUUAACACCCCCAGGAGCAGAAUCCACACAGGAUUUGGUAGUCCCAUUGACCGAAUUGGAAUCAGCCAGUUCCCAAGCAGAAAGGGUUAAAUAGUGAGGUUACUGCACUUAGUGGGCUAGUUUGUCAACUAUACACAGGCUUUCAUAUAAUUCUUCACCAUAGAACCGUUCUAACUCAUCAACUUCAAAAAUGAUAUAUGUACAACUGGACAGAUUAUUGAGUUGUUCUGUUUUUCAUAGAAAUUCACAGUGAGGAGAAGCAUACAGGAAAAUAACAUAUAACAAAGAGACGAAAGGUUUUGAGUAUUUGCCUUUGUAAAGACGUUGUAAAAGUAAAAGUAAAAGCACUGGUUUAUACGGAUGAAUGUGGCACUUAAUAAAAUUAAACGAAAAUAAAUUUCUCAACGGAACAUUUUAUUAUGACAAU
ensembl:lncRNA